rnacentral:rRNA from 1 species
UGCCUUACACAUGCAAGUCGAACGCGAAAGCGGGGGCAACCCCGCAAGUAGAGUGGCGAACGGGUGAGUAAUACAUCGGAACGUGUCCAGUAGCGGGGGAUAACCUCUCGAAAGAGAGGCUAAUACCGCAUACGUCCUACGGGAGAAAGAGGGGGAUCGCAAGACCUCUCACUAUUGGAGCGGCCGAUGUCGGAUUAGCUAGUUGGUGAGGUAAAGGCUUACCAAGGCGACGAUCCGUAGCUGGUCUGAGAGGACGACCAGCCACACUGGAACUGAGACACGGUCCAGACUCCUACGGGAGGCAGCAGUGGGGAAUUUUGGACAAUGGGGGCAACCCUGAUCCAGCCAUGCCGCGUGGGUGAAGAAGGCCUUCGGGUUGUAAAGCCC